UACUGCGCUCGCUCCCAGAAGCUAAGCUAGCUAGCUAAUCACCUCGAGACGGACGGUAGAAUCAAAAGUAGUGACAAGAAGAUGGCGGAGUGAGUGGGUUGCGCUUUGAAGGAAAGCAGCGACCCUUGAUUUUCCUAAAAUAUUCUACGAAGAAAGGAGAAUCACGUUCAAAUUGUAGCUAUCUUCGAAAAUUUGACAAACAAGAAGAAUAUUGCCCCUCUUGCGGAGGUGGUUCAAACAGAUCGAACGGAAUUUCGCAAUUCCGCUGGUGUCCUUUCGAUAGUUCUACACUAGUGGGCUAACGUUAGCUAGCUACCCAGGCACUGGGCGACGGACAUACUAGGCACACUAGGAGUGUUUUCAGAAGAAUCGUGUUCCCAUUUUCGUGAUGUGUUGGUUUUAUUUUUUCCAAGAUUUUUUACUAGCUAGCUAGCGAAUAACGCCUGAAAAGAAACACUGUUCUAGCUAGCUAGCUAACGUUACAUUGUUUCAAGUACAUCGCCCACGAGCAACCAGGACUUCUGUGUAUGUACGAAACCGACGGCGCUGUCCCAGACAAUCCAAUUUUAAACUGAUCAAAGGUUGCUCGUGAUUUUGAGGAUAUGGCAAGCAGCAGCGGCUCUAAAGCCGAAUUCAUUGUCGGUGGGAAAUAUAAGCUUGUCAGAAAAAUUGGAUCUGGGUCAUUUGGUGACAUAUACCUGGCGAUCAACAUCACAAAUGGAGAGGAGGUAGCUGUAAAAUUGGAAUCUCAGAAAGCCAGACACCCACAGUUGUUAUAUGAAAGCAAACUGUACAAAAUCUUACAAGGAGGAGUUGGAAUCCCACACAUAAGGUGGUAUGGCCAAGAAAAAGACUACAAUGUCCUAGUGAUGGACCUGCUGGGACCCAGUCUGGAAGACCUCUUCAACUUCUGCUCACGCAGGUUCACCAUGAAAACUGUACUAAUGCUCGCAGACCAGAUGAUCAGCAGAAUCGAGUAUGUGCACACAAAGAACUUCAUUCACAGAGAUAUCAAGCCAGACAACUUUUUAAUGGGUAUUGGCCGUCACUGUAACAAGUGUUUAGAAUCUCCAGUGGGGAAGAGGAAAAGAAGCUUGGCUGUUAGUUCUUCUCAGGACCCAUCUUUCUCAGGAUUAAACCAGUUGUUCCUCAUCGACUUUGGUCUGGCCAAAAAAUACAGGGACAACAGGACACGACAGCACAUACCCUACAGAGAAGACAAAAAUCUCACAGGCACAGCUCGCUAUGCCAGCAUCAACGCACACCUGGGCAUCGAACAGAGUCGCCGAGAUGACAUGGAGUCGCUAGGAUACGUCCUGAUGUAUUUCAACAGAACCAGCCUGCCCUGGCAGGGACUAAAGGCUGCCACAAAGAAACAGAAGUACGAGAAGAUUAGCGAGAAGAAGAUGUCGACUCCAGUCGAGGUGUUGUGUAAGGGAUUCCCUGCAGAGUUUGCCAUGUACCUGAACUACUGCCGUGGCCUGCGGUUCGAGGAGGCGCCUGACUACAUGUACCUGCGUCAGCUGUUCCGCAUUCUCUUCAGGACCUUGAACCACCAGUACGACUACACGUUUGACUGGACAAUGCUGAAGCAGAAAGCAGCACAGCAGGCCGCAUCCUCAGGGGGACAGGGGCAACCGGCACAAACCCCCACAGGCAAGCAAACUGACAAACCCAAGAGUAACAUGAAAGUCGCCCCCCUCCCUCUCGUAGAGGGUAUCCCGGGUGCCCAGGGUUGAUGGCGGAGGAGUCAACCCAAUUUUUCAAAAUACCUGAAGCAGUUUUCAUCAGGUUUCUGAGCAGUAAGACAAUGAAAUGAAGCAGAGCAGAGUGGCCGUAGCAGGAUUUGCCUUCCAAUCACACCCCGGCAUCCAGGAUCAAAUUCACCAGAACCUGCCAGGCAUUGUGGGCAACCCUUUUUUCCUGUUAAAGAACUUUCGUUCCAUAUACUAUAUAUGUAAUCGCUCUAUAUAGAUAACAUGCUCUGCAUAUAUCUAUAUAUUGGUAUGUAUAUACUAUAUCCACACAGGAAGCAGGCUUGGUAUGGAAUUUUCCGAAGCUGUAGCCUUCUCUAUUGUCCUGUCCCUGAAGAUUAUUUUUUUGUGUUUCUUCAAAACUGAAAAUAAGACAUGGUUGGCUCACUGCGGAUGUAAUUGUGCACAUGCCAAUACUUUCCCCUUGAUACUAUCUCCCUCUGAGAGCUGCGGCUUGGGUGCCUGCCUCACCUCAUGGCCUCCUGUCAGCGCAGCUUUGUCCCCAUUCCUUCAGUCACCGAGCGUGGCACGAUGACCCAGACACACGUCAGUCAGAUUGAACAUUUUGAAACAACCAUUAUCUCUUCCUUAUUCAACUUUUUCCCCUCAUUUUCAAGCAAAAUGAAAGAUGUAAACUGAAACUGUUUCUUUUGUUGUUAUGAAUGAAUCCUCGGUAUUUACUAAGCAAACAUUGGAUUUAUUUUUGUUUCUUUUCAUAAAAAGGGUAAUUAAGAUUCUGCCUGCUGAUAUGUGCUAGAAGAGCUUCAAAUGUGAAGAUGAAAACAAUUCUAGUGACUACUAGGUCUCUAUUUAGAACGCUACAUUAACUAUAUUGUACUUGGUAUUCUGAAGUCUCAAACAAUGAAUAAAAAAGAUAAACUCCA